rnacentral:tRNA from 1 species
GCGAUUGUAGCUCAGUUGGUUAGAGCACCGGUUUGUGGUACCGGGGGUCGUGGGUUCAAGUCCCAUCAGUCGCCCCA